rnacentral:lncRNA from 1 species
AUCCACUCAUCACAAAACAUUUUCACGUAUAGCUUGUUUCUAGUUUAUAUUGCAGUAUAUUUGUUUUUUCACUAUAGGCCUUAAUGGUCUUUGAAAUUGUCCCUUCAUAUAUUCUACACUAAGAGUAUUUCCAACCUGUUGAAUCAAAACAAAGAUUUUACUCUGAGAUAACUCCACCCAUCACAAAGCAUUUUCAUACAUACCUAGUUUCCAGUUUUUAUUUCAGGAUAUUCGGUUUUACUCUAUAAACCAGAAUAAGCUCAGAAAUGUCUUUUCAUAGAUUCUACAAAAAGAAUGCUUUCAACCUGUUGAAUAAAACAAAGGUUUAACUUCAUGAGAUGAAUCCACCUAAUGCAAAGCAUUUUCACAGAUAGCUUGUUUCUAGUUCUUACCAUGAGAUAAUCAAUUUAAUAUAGGCCUCAACGGGCUUAGAAAUAUCCUUUGGUAGAUUCCACAAAAAGAGUUUUUCCAACCAGCUGAAUCAAAACACAGGUUCCAUGUGGUGAGAUGAAUCCAAAGAUCACAAAUCGUUUUCACAGGUAGGUUGUUUCUAGUUUUUAUCACAGAAUAUUCUGUUGUUCACUAUAGGCCUCGAUGGCCUCGGAAAUGUCCCUUCAUAGAUUCUAAAAAAAAGUGUUUCCAACCCAGUGAAUCACAACACAAGAUCCAUUCAGUGAGAAGAAUCCCCAUAUAACAAAGCAUUUUCACAGAGAGCUUGUUUGUACUUUGCAUAGCGGGAUAUUCAGUUUCUCACCUUACAUCUCGAUAAGCUCAAAAACGUCUCUUCAUAGAUUCUACAUAAAGAAUGUUUUCAACCAGUUGAAUCAAAUCAAAAAUUUAACACUGUGAGAUAAAUCCACAAAUCAAAAAGCAUUUUCAUAGGUAGUUUGUUUCUACUACCUAUUUAUCAGGGGAUGCUUGGUUUUUCACUACAAGUCUCAAUGGGCUCAGAAAUGAUGUCCCUUCA